rnacentral:lncRNA from 1 species
AAUGGGCACCCGCGUAUAAAAGCGACGCCACGGCGCGGCGAGUUGCUCGUGGCAAUUAUCCUCUUAGCUCUCGCACACGCACAACCACACGCCGCUCGCCUAGCUCUUCCAUAAAAGACGACGGCGAUCGCGCGUUGCUGGGGAGCUCGUCAGAGCACGGCCGGUGAUCGCGGAAGAAUAGUCGAGAGCUGCUCGGCGUCGGUGGUGGUGCGCGCGCGCGGGGGGAUCGUUGAUCGAUGGCUAGGGAAGCGGAGGCGGCGCUGCGGCCGUUCGUCCAGGCGGCGGGCGGCGACGGGGAGUUCAUCUCGGGCGGGCCGGCGGCGACGGCGUUCCUCGCCACGGAUAGGACGGAUCGGCCGGUGGACCCGGUGAUCUGGGGCGACGAGAAGCGGAUGAAGCGGGAGCUCGUGGCGUGGGCCAAGGCCGUGGCGUCCAUGUCGGCCGGCAAGAACACCUCCUGCUCCUCCACGCCAUCGUCGACGCCGUCGCCAUCCAUGAGACGAGGCAGGGUAUAGUGUGCCGAUUCUGGUGGGCACGGUAUCGCUGGGGCAACAACCACCCUCGAUUCUUCUUCCACUUCAAUUCGCUUGACAGCACAUCUUGUCAUAGUUGUUGCCCAAUAUGCUGAUUUCUCUCCAUAAAAGGAGCUCUUGAUGUACAGUAAGUAUUGAGGUAUUGUAUAGGAGGAUGAUCUUGUGGCAACUGCCAAAUGU